GAUGAACGCUGGCGGCGUGCUUAACACAUGCAAGUCGAACGAUGAAGCCCAGCUUGCUGGGUGGAUUAGUGGCGAACGGGUGAGUAACACGUGAGUAACCUGCCCUUGACUCUGGGAUAAGCCUGGGAAACUGGGUCUAAUACUGGAUAUGACUUCUCAUCGCAUGGUGGGGGGUGGAAAGAUUUAUUGGUCUUGGAUGGACUCGCGGCCUAUCAGCUUGUUGGCGAGGUAAUGGCUCACCAAGGCGACGACGGGUAGCCGGCCUGAGAGGGUGACCGGCCACACUGGGACUGAGACACGGCCCAGACUCCUACGGGAGGCAGCAGUGGGGAAUAUUGCACAAUGGGCGCAAGCCUGAUGCAGCGACGCCGCGUGAGGGAUGACGGCCUUCGGGUUGUAAACCUCUUUCAGUAGGGAAGAAGCGAGAGUGACGGUACCUGCAGAAGAAGCGCCGGCUAACUACGUG
rnacentral:rRNA from 1 species